rnacentral:rRNA from 1 species
UACGUAGGUGGCAAGCGUUGUCCGGAUUUAUUGGGCGUAAAGCGCGCGCAGGCGGUUCGUUUAGUCCGAGGUGAAAUCUCCCGGCUCAACUGGGAGGGUGCGGUGGAGACUGCCGGACUGGAGGCACUCAGAGGCCGGUGGAAUUCCCGGUGUAGUGGUGAAAUGCGUAGAGAUCGGGAGGAACACCAGUGGCGAAGGCGGCCGGCUGGGGGUGACCUGACGCUGAGGCGCGAAAGCGUGGGGAGCGAACCGG